UACGGAGGGUGCAAGCGUUAUCCGGAUUCACUGGGUUUAAAGGGUGUGUAGGCGGAUAUUUAAGUCAGUGGUGAAAUCUCCAGGCUCAACCUGGAAACUGCCAUUGAUACUAUUUAUCUUGAAUUCUGUUGAGGUGGGCGGAAUACAUCAUGUAGCGGUGAAAUGCUUAAGAUAUGAUGUAGAACACCGAUUGCGAAGGACAGCUCACUAAGCAGACAUUGACGCUGAGGCACGAAAGCGUGGGGAUCAAACAGG
rnacentral:rRNA from 1 species